UACAGAGACUGCAAGCGUUAUCCGGAUUCACUGGGUUUAAAGGGUGCGUAGGUGGGCAAGUAAGUCAGUGGUGAAAUCUCCGGGCUUAACCCGGAAACUGCCAUUGAUACUAUUUGUCUUGAAUACUGUGGAGGUCAGCGGAAUAUGUCAUGUAGCGGUGAAAUGCUUAGAUAUGACAUAGAACACCAAUUGCGAAGGCAGCUGGCUACACAAAUAUUGACACUGAGGCACGAAAUCGUGGGGAUCAAACAGG
rnacentral:rRNA from 1 species